rnacentral:tRNA from 1 species
GGGAAUGUGGCUUAGUGGUAGAGUGCUUGCAUUACAUGCAUGAAGCCCUGGGUUCGAUUCCUCAGUACCG